rnacentral:lncRNA from 1 species
GCCUCUCCUCUUGUCACUCAGGUGCUGUACAAGGUCUGCAACUCCUUUGUGGAGAUGGGCUCUGCCAACGUGCAGGCCACUGACUACCUAAAGGGAGUCGGUCAGUAUUUCCCCCAACAUGGCCAACAUUCAAUGUCUGCCUUUUCUGGAUUGUUGCGACCCACCAGCCAAUGUCUCAUUCCUUAUUCUCCUUGAUGGAGAAAUGGGGUCUGGGAGGAGCUUGCCUUGGGAUUCUGGUCUGGGAUCCUGAGCCCCAGGGAGUGUGGUGGGUGCCCUUCUCUAUUUCUUACUAGACAACAGACUUGUCAGCCCAGCUUGGGGAGGGUCUGGGCCAGGGGUCAUGCUGACAACCCACUCCUCCCCCAGCCUCCCUGUUUGUGGUCAGUCUGGGCGGGGCAGCCGUGGGCUUAGUCUUUGCCUUCCUCCUGGCCCUGACCACACGCUUCACCAAGCGGGUCCGCAUCAUCGAGCCGUUGCUGGUCUUCCUCCUCGCCUAUGCAGCCUACCUCACUGCCGAAAUGGCCUCAUUGUCUGCCAUUCUUGCGGUGACCAUGUG